rnacentral:rRNA from 1 species
GUCCACGCCCUAAACGAUGUCAACUGGGUGUUGGGGAAGCGAUUCCUCAGUACCGUAGCUAACGCGUGAAGUUGACCGCCUGGGGAGUACGGCCGCAAGGUUAAAACUCAAAGGAAUUGACGGGGACCCGCACAAGCGGUGGAUGAUGUGGAUUAAUUCGAUGCAACGCGAACAACCUUACCUACCCUUGACAUGUCCGGAAGCUCGCUGAGAGGUGAGUGUGCCCGAAAGGGAAUCGGAACACAGGUGCUGCAUGGCUGUCGU